ACGGUUCCGGUUCACGCCCGAACCCGUCGCGUUCGACGGGACGACCGACGGCGACCCGGCGACC
rfam:Micromonospora rhizosphaerae strain DSM 45431 genome assembly, contig: Ga0070624_12